CUCUAAUCUACUCUCAUAGGCUGAGUGAACUUCAAUUCACAUCCAUUUUCAGGGCCCUGAGGGAAAACAAAUCAAUAAGAAGAAAAAAAUCAAUGGAAACAAGUAGUUCACAGAAAGUUGAACAAGUCUUUAGGUUCAAAGUACAGUUUGAUGAUAUCUUCGGAUAUAUAGCAUUUCGUACUUUUUAGCAGAACGAGUCGACCUGCAUUGAUUUGAGAUUCUGCCCGUCAGUAACUAAACGACCCUGACUUCAGAGCCCAUGCAGUCUCUUAAAAGCAGAGAUAAGAAGCCAGUCAUUAGACAGCAGAAACUGGAAAAGAAGAAGAAACAUAAGGGAGAGGUGAUCGGGCUGUAUAAAUUCCAUUCCGGGUGGAUCCUACAAAAGAAUGGCCUGUGAAGAGACAGACAAGUGCACAAGAGAGAAUGCACGUGAACAUGAAGAGGUGGGGGUGAUGCAUCCACAAGCCAAAGCGUGCUACAGAUAGCCCAAAAAUAUCAGAAGCUAGGAGAGAGGCCUGGAACUGGUUUUUCCUCUCAGCCCUCAGAAAGAACCAACCAACAUCCUGAUCUCAGACCUCUAGGCACAAGAACUGUGGAACAAUAAAUUUCUGUUUAAGCCACCCGGUUUGUGAAACUUUUUUAUGGCAGCCAUCACAAAUUAAUACAUGUAGUUACAUGAAAAUUUUAUUUUCUUUUAGAUGGAGUUGUGACAGCUACAUUUAUUAAAUUACGUUGCCUCCACUGAAAUGAAAUAUUACUUUUCUCAUACACUAAAUUUGUUAUUGAUGUAUAUAUAUAUUCUCAAAUAUAAAUAUAUAAAAUUCUACAUUCUCAAAUCUACCAGAAUCUGUUUUCUCUAUUCCAUGUUACUGACUUAUUUGUAUAUAUUCUUUUUUUUU
rnacentral:lncRNA from 1 species